GCUAGCGUGGCAGAGACAGGUAAUUGCAAAAGCCCUAAGACCUUUUAACCGGAGGUUCAACUCCUCCCGCUAGCU
rnacentral:tRNA from 1 species